CAGGGAGACAACAAAAUGUUUAAUAUUAUUAUUUUGUCACCUUAGGUCGAUCGGUAUCUCACGUUCUUAAUUCGUUAAGAAUUUCAUUUCCUAAGUUUUUCUAGGUCACACCCAUUAUUUUUCCUGGGCCAUUAGCUCAGGUGGUUAGAGCGCACCCCUGAUAAGGGUGAGGUCCCUGGUUCAAGUCCAGGAUGGCCCAUAUCUCUAUGUUGGGGGUAUAGCUCAGUUGGUAGAGCGCCUGCUUUGCAAGCAGGAUGUCAGCGGUUCGAGUCCGCUUACCUCCACUGAUUACCACCUCUUCCAUAAUUUACAGAAGGGAAAAGUUUUAGCUGUGAUCCACUUCUGAACGAAUCUAGCUUCCUAAUUAAUUUUAUUAAGAUGCUGGACUCAUUGAAUCAAUUUCAUUGUUUUCAGAGAACCUUGACAACUGCAUAGAUUAUUUUUAAAGACAAUAAGCAUCUUUAAUGAUGCAGAUUUAUUAUUUGUGCAAAUGCAUUAAUAACAAUUCUAUUAAGCUGAUGCUUCAAUUUUUGAAGUUAUU
rnacentral:tRNA from 1 species